AGCGGACGCUGGCGGCAGGCCUAACACAUGCAAGUCGAACGAACCUUUCGGGGUUAGUGGCGGACGGGUGAGUAACACGUGGGAACGUGCCUUUAGGUUCGGAAUAACUCAGGGAAACUUGUGCUAAUACCGAAUGUGCCCUUCGGGGGAAAGAUUAAUCGCCUUUAGAGCGGCCCGCGUCUGAUUAGCUAGUUGGUUGAGGUAAUGGCUCACCAAGGCGACGAUCAGUAGCUGGUCUGAGAGGAUGAUCAGCCACAUUGGGACUGAGACACGGCCCAAACUCCUACGGGAAGCAGCAGUGGGGAAUCUUGCGCAAUGGGCGAAAGCCUGACGCAGCCAUGCCGCGUGAAUGAUGAAGGUCUUAGGAUUGUAAAAUUCUUUCACCGGGGACGAUAAUGACGGUACCCGGAGAAGAAGCCCCGGCUAACUUCGUG
rnacentral:rRNA from 1 species